ensembl:lncRNA
AUGAGCGACACCUGCUCCACUCACCGGUCUCGUGUCCCACGGAGGAGAUCGGAAGGAUAUAAAAGAGGAGCGACAACAGUGAAGGACGAGAAAGGACCAGGCCUGGGCUUUAUUUUGUGUUUGGUUUUUGUUUAUUCGCGGCAGUCGCCCGUGAGGGGCUGUCGCGCUGCCCGAAAGCGGAGGAGCCGUCACCGUCCACCGGGCGGCGGAGGAGUGUCGUGCCGUCCACCGAGGGCCAUCCAGUGCCGCCGUCAGGCACCGCGGAAGAGUUCACCCAGCUGGUGGAGGGCCGAGCGGCAGCGUGUCUGGGAACCGGAUUUUUAUUUAUUUUUUUCUUCUCUCUCCCCUCUCUCGUCUCUGUCACUCCUCAUCCUUCCAUCUCCUUUUCUCUCGCCUCGUCUGUCCUUACCCCCGUGAGCGGUCCCCCCCGGAGGGAGGGGGUGGGGAGUAGAGAGCAGUGUCGGGAGUACCCCCCGGCCUGCGAGGGGGGUAUGUGAUGAGUGGGGCGGGGCCGAGAGCCGUGGGAAUGGAGCGAGGCCGGUGGAGUGAUUGGGAAAUGAGCGACACCUGCUCCACUCACCGGUCUCGAGUCCCACGGAGGAGAUCGGAAGGAUAUAAAAGAGGAGCGACGACAGUGAAGGACGAGAGAGGACCAGGCCUGGGUUUUGUUUUGUGUUUGGUUUUUGUUUAUGCGCGGCAGUCGCCCGUGAGGGGCUGUUGCACUGUUUUGUAUUUAUUUUGUCAUUAAAGUUUUAUUUGAGUGUCCGCCGGUUCCCGCCUCCUUCUUCCCGUGAUUAUGGAGUUUUAUAUUGUUACACCCAACAUCACAGCAGUAAUGACUUUAUGAACUACUUUACUUUUAAGAUCGAUACUAUUAGAGAUAAAAUUGUAACCAUGCAGCCGUCAACUACAGUAUCGCAUCAGACAGUGCACUAUAGAUCCCCUGAGGAACAGUUCCACUCAUCCUCUACUAUAGGAAAGGAAGAAUUGUAUAAACUUGUUAAAUCAUCUAAACCAACAACAUGUAUGUUAGAUCCUAUUCCAUCUAAGCUCCUAAAAGAGGUGCUUCCAGAAGUCAUAGAUCCGCUUCUGACUAUUAUUAAUUCAUCAUCGUCAUUAGGAUAUGUCCCCAAAACCUUCAAACUGGCUGUUAUUAAGCCUCUCAUCAAAAAAAAACACAACUUGACCCCAAAGAACUAGUUAAUUAUAGACCGAUCUCGAAUCUCCCUUUUCUGUCCAAGAUACUAGACACGGUAGUAUCCUCACAAUUAUAUUCCUUCUUAGAGAAAAAUGAUAUCUGUGAGGAUUUCCAGUCAGGAUUUAUACCCUAUCAUAGUAUUGAGACUGCUCUCCUUAGAGUUACAAAUGACCUGCUCUUAUCAUCUGAUCAUGGUUGUAUCUCUCUUUUAGUGCUAAUGGAUCUUAGUGCUGUGUUCGACACUAUUGACCACAACAUUCUUUUGCAUAGACUAGAACACUUUGUUGGCAUUAAUGGAAGUGCAUUAGCAUAGUUUAAAUCGUACUUGUAUGACCGCCAUCAAUUCAUAGGAGUAAAUGAAGCGGUAUCAUAUUGAUCACAAGAGCAGUAUGGAGUACCUCAAGGCUCAGUACUAGGGCUGUUACUCUUCAUGCUUUACAUGUUACCCUUGGGAGAUAUCAUAAGGAAACACGGUGUUAGCUUUCACUGUUAUGCUGAUGAUACUCAGCUCUAUAUUUCUUCGCGCCCCGGCGAAACAUACCAAUUUGAAAAAAUAACGGAAUGCAUAGUCGAUAUAAAAAAACUGGAUGACGAGCAAUUUCUUACUGCUAAAUUCUGAAAAAAUAGAGAACUCUGUCUAAGACUUAAUGGCUGCUCUGUCAAUUCUUUGUCAUCAGUUAGGAACCUAGGUGUGCUAUUUGAUAGCAAUCUUUCCUUAGAAAGCCACGUUUCAAGCAUUUGUUAAACUGCUUUUUUCCAUCUCAAAA